CUUGGAAACUGAUUGCUUGUCUACUUGUAGACGCUUUCUUGAAAUUCGUCUGUUGAAACUGAUUGUUGAAAAAAAAAAUAUCAAGAAACAAGUUUCGAUUAAAGGUGUGAACGAAAUUACGUUAACGUUGAAAUCAAUACACGAUAUUUUACAGAUUCAGAAGGAAGAUGCCUGGAGGACUUUUGAGAAGAGCAACUUUUGCAAUGAGCUGAUUUUGGCAUCCCGAGGCACAGUUUGGCUGUGUCCCGGGAGUGGUGAGGACUCGUGUUGGCUUCUCUGGUGGAUCCACAAUUAAUCCCACAUACAGAAACAUUGGGGAUCAUGCAGAGACAGUAGACAUCGAGUUUGACCCAAACAAGACAAAUUAUGAGACCCUGCUUAACCUGUUUUGGAAGUGGCACAAUCCAACAUCAAGUCAUAGUAGACAGUAUAUGUCAGCCAUCUUUUACCAUGAUGAAACACAGCAGAGACUUGCAGAGAAGACUAAAACAGAACAUCAGAAGCACAUAGCUCGUCCAAUUGUAACCCUCAUACAGAAAGCUGGACCUUUCUAUAAUGCUGAGGACUAUCACCAGAAAUAUAUGUUACGUCGUCACUCGAAGGUAAUUGACCGUCUCAAUCUUACAGAUGAAGAGUUGAUCAAGUCAAAGGCUGCUUGUAGAUUAAAUGGCUACCUUUCUGGUUAUGGGACAGAAGAAGGGUUCCUAAAGGAAGUGGAUGACCUUGACAUCAAAGAAUCUGUAGUUGGAUAUGUACAGCAACAAAUCAAGAAAAGUAAAAGAUACUAGGAGUGACAGUUUGCUCAAAUUUGACUUCAUUCUGUAUUGUUUUUACCAUUAUUUAUAUGUAAAUUUUUAGAAAAUGUUAUUUCUUAUGGAUUUAUUACAAGUAGAAUUAUUGGUUGAUUACUGGUGUUACAUUUUUCUUUGAACAAGAUAGAAGGUAAAAUUACUUUAAUCCAGGUUCUAAGAUAACAAAACUGAGUUUGGAGACAAGUAUCAAAUGUUGCCAUUGGUCAGUUUCAAGACCGAGCUCAGAAUCAACCAGUCAGAUGCUCUAGUUUUGAGACUGGUAUCCUAACUCAGUUUUUAAAAUCUCAGAACCUAGAACCCAUAUUUACCAAAGUCUUAAGUUUUAUCAAUUUCAGAGUUGGGACAUUAAUGAACAGUUUUUAAGUUUGUUACUGAUGAGAGGCAAUUUUAUCUGAGAUUACCUGUAACAUCUAAAUCAGUAGUCUCCCUUACAGUAAACAUUUUAGCAGAUUUCUGAUGAACAAAUUUUAGAGUUGUUCAGAGUUCUUUCUACAGAAACAAGGCUAAUGAAGGUGAUAUAAAGUGCAAAAAAUAAAUUUUGUAGAAAAAUAUAAUACUAGUAUGUGAACUUCUUUACAUGGGUCAUGUGAUAUUUGUGCAGUACUGCUAGUGUCUGCCUUGGGAAAGUAUUUGAUAACAUCUUUGGUCUUCCUCCAUUUCAUGCUAGAAAACUGGCAGUUAUGUAUCUAUACAGGGAAUUGGAAAUUUAUCCUGGAAUUUUUUGAAAAUGGUGUUGAGGCUACUUGUUCAGAGGCAAAAUGAAAAUUUUGGCCACAUUCCUUUGGCUACUCAGAAGAUUCUGCAUCUAGUGCAGACAAAACAGUCACAUGAUAAAUAUUUACAGCAAUUGGAAAGCAGGUCUGGGUUCCUAUCCACUUUAGGUAAUCUCACUAGAGUUGGGUACCAGAGCAGAACAGUGUACUUAUUUCGUUCCUUUGACAACAAUUAGAAGACUAGUCUAGAAUUUUAGAAGACUGGUUCAAGCAGUCAAAGGAAUAUGGCCUUUGUUUUACAAUCAUUACAUAUGCCUGACAUUUGUAAUCAUUCAAAAAAAUGCUGAGUGUGUAAUUUCCACUGUUUUUAUAUUCUUAUAAUUUAUAUUCAAUCAGUACAGCUGCAUGCCAAAUUAAAGUUCACAUUAAAUUUUUCAGUGUAGACUUACAAUUACAUGCAUUUCCAACUAGUAUAAAACAGUCAUAUCCUAUCUAUUUCUUUAGAUAAUUUAUUGUUAGUACUUAAGGUAGAGUUUAAAGUUUAUGUGCCAGUGCAUUAUAGUGUUGUAAUUUUCAAACAUAAUUAUUUUUAUAAAUUUUUCCUUUAGUUUUCCACUUAGUCCACUGGACAUAAGAAUUUGAAAACUUGAUUCUUCAUUACAGAAUCUUUAUUAUAUGAAAAGUAUUGCAACUUGAAUACUAAUUGAUAGGAAAAUACAUUAUCUUUCUGCAUGUGAUAAUUUUAUAUUUGUGAAUUGCAGAUAUUGCGUGUCUACAAAAAUAUGGGAAAUAAAAUAUUUAUCAGUUGAAAAAAAUGUGUUUUGUAAACUUUAAUUUGGUAUGUAAAUGUAUGUCGUAAAGAUAACGGGUAGCAAAAUACUGUUAUAUUGUUAAUAUACACAUGUCUUUCAUUUUACCUUCAACUCUUAUCCAUGGUUGUUCUGUUACUCGGUGUGGUUUUAGCUGCCCCAGUCAGCAUUAGUUUUUUUAUGAAACCAAAUAUCUUUUUCAUUGCUUAAGGGAUCAAUUCAAACUUGUUGUAUUUACUCAUAAAGAUAAUUUUCAUUAGAGUGACAAGUUAUGUAACUCUGAAUGUAAUAUUUCAAGAAUUAUGCCAAUUUUUAGCUCACAUGUCACAAAGUGACAGUGUGAGCUUUUGUGAUCGCGCAGCGUCCGUUGUCCGUCAUCCGUCCGUCCGUGCGUAAACUUUUGCUUGUGAUCUCUCUAGAGGUCACAUUUUUCAUGGGAUCUUUAUGAAAGUUAGUCAGAAUGUUCAUCUUGAUGAUAUCUAGGUCAAGUUCGAAACUGGGUCACGUGCGGUCAAAAACUAGGUCAGUAGGUCUAAAAAUAGAAAAACCUUGUGACCCCUCUAGAGGCCAUAUUUUUCACAAGAUCUUCAUGAAAAUUGGUCAGAAUGUUCACCUUGAUGAUAUCUAGGUCAGGUUCGAAACUGGGUCACGUGCCAUCAAAAACUAGGUCAGUAGGUCAAAUAAUAGAAAAACCUUGUGACCUCUCUAGAGGCCAUAUUUUUCAUGGGAUCUGUAUGAAAGUUGGUCUGAAUGUUCAUCUUGAUAUCUAGAUCAAGUUUGAAACUGGGUCAGCUGCGGUCAAAAACUAGGUCAUUAGGUCUAAAAAUAGAAAAACCUUGUGACCUCUCUAGAGGUCAUACUUCUGAAUGGAUCUUCAUGAAAAUUGGUCAGAAUGUUCACCUUGAUGAUAUCUAGGUCAAGUUUGAAACUGGGUCACGUGCCAUCAAUAACUAGGUCAGUAGGUCAAAUAAUAAAAAAACGUUGUGACCUCUCUAGAGGCCAUAUUUUUCAUGGGAUCUGUAUGAAGGUUGGUCUGAAUGUUCAUCUUGAUGAUAUCUAGGCCAAGUUCGAAACUGGGUCAACUGUGUUUAAAAACUAGGUCAGUAGGUCUAAAUAUAGAAAAACCUUGUGACCUCUCUAGAGGUCAUAUUUUUCACAAGAUCUUCAUGAAAAUUGGUCAGAAUGUUCACCUUGAUGAUAUCUAGGUCAUUUUCGAAACUGGGUCAUGUGCCUUCAAAAACUAGGUCAGUAGGUCAAAUAAUAGAAAAACCUUAUGACCUCUCUAGAGGCCAUAUUUUUCAUGGGAUCUAUAUGAAAGUUGGUCAGAAUGUUCAUCUUGAUGAUAUCUAGGUCAAUUUCGAAACUGGGUCAGCUGCGGUCAAAAACUAGGUCAUUAGGUCAAAUAAUAGAAAAACCUUAUGACCUCUCUAGAGGCCAUAUUUUUCAUGGGAUCUAUAUGAAAGUUGGUCAGAAUGUUCAUCUUGAUGAUAUCUAGGUCAGUUUCGAAACUGGGUCAGCUGCGGUCAAAAACUAGGUCAUUAGGUCUAAAAAUAGAAAAACCUUGUGACCUCUCUAGAGGCCAUACUUUUGAAUGGAUCUUCAUGAAAUUUGGUCAGAAUGUUCACCUUGAUGAUAUCUAGUUCAAGUUUGAAACUGGGUCACGUGCCUUCAAUAACUAGGUCAGUAGGUCAAAUAAUGAAAAAACCUUGUGACCUCUCUAGAGGCCAUAUUUUUCAUGGGAUCUGUAUGAAAGUUGGUCUGAAUGUUCAUCUUGAUGAUAUCUAGGUCAGGUUCAAAACUGGGUCACAUGAGCUCAAAAACUAGGUCACUAUGUCAAAUAAUAGAGAAAAAAAACGACGUCAUACUCAGUUCAAAACUGGGUCAUGUUGGGACAGGUGAGCGAUUCAGGACCAUCAUGGUCCUCUUGUUUAUCCCCCCACCAAAGGUGAAGGGGAUAUUAGAAAUGCUCUCCGUCCGUGCGUCCGUCUGUCCGUCCGUCCGCAAUGAUAUUUGUCCGGAGCAUAACUCCAAAAGUACUUGAGGGAUUUUCUUCAAACUUCAUACACUGAUAGAACACAUUGGGAGGAAGUGCAGUGUGCAAGAACAAUAACUCUACCUUGCCUAUUUUUUGAGUUAUUCCCCUUUAUCUUAUUUUCUUAAAAAAAUUUGUCCGGAGCAUAACUCCAAAAGUGCUGGAGGGAUUUUCUUCAAACUUCAUGCACUGAUAGAACACAUUAGGAGGAAGUGCAGUGUGCAAGAACAAUAACUCUACCUUGCCUAUUUUUUGAGUUAUUCCCCUUUAUCAUAUUUUCUUAAAACAUUUUGUCCGGAGCAUAACCCCUAAAGUACUGGAGGGAUUUUCUUCAAACUUCAUACACUGAUAGAACACAUUAGGAGGAAGUGCAGUGUGCAAGAACAAUAACUCUACCUUGCCUAUUUUUUGAGUUAUUCCCCUUUAUCAUAUUUUCUUAAAGAAAUUUGUCCGGAGCAUAUCUUCUUCAUGCAUGGAGGGAUUUUGAUAUAUCUUGGCUUAAAUGUUUACCACCACGAUGCGGAGUGUCAUACGCAAGAACUAGGUCCCUAGGUCUAAGGUCAAGGUCACACUUAGAGGUCAAAGGAUACAAGAAUAAAAACCUUGUCCAAUUUUGAGGUGUAUUUUGACCAGUCUCUUCCUGAUAAAGAUUUUUGUGUGGACUUGCAAUUUUUUUUUUUUUUUUUUUUUUUUUUUAAAGAUUAACUUCCCUUAGUUGUUACUAUAAAUAACUUAUAUUGUAACAUUUUUAUAAUUGACCAUAGGGAAAAAACAAGACCACUUUUCUGUGGUACAUCAUAGAUGUUACUCUCCAGUUUUAGGUGUAUUUUAUUAAUUUUAUUAUAUAUAAGGUAUCUCUACCUAGUAAGGAGUUUUUUUGUGGACUUUAAAAAACAAAAGACUUACAAGGAUUACUAAACAACCACAAAAUUAACAUUCCAUUUGCAAAUACAGCUGCUAGAGUAAAGAAAUUUGCUUUGACGGGCAUAUAUUGUGACAUUCUGGCACUCUUGUUCCCUGUUAGCUUUCCAUUCCUUCUUUUUACAGUAGCCAUAUAGAAAAACAUCAUAGUUAUACUCUUCAUGAAAAUUAAUAAAAUUUAGCAGUAACCCACCUCACUACUGACUUAUUCUUUCUUCCACAUCUUAAAACCCCUGAUGCGGACCACAUCCUUCAAUUAUGAUAUGCCCGGUGGGGGGAUUAGCCAUGUCUGACAUGGCUCUUGUUUAACUUAGAAAUAUUGGACUCCAUGUACAACGAUGAAAAUUAUUUUAUGACUUGAUGUCAAGCCAUGACUAAAUUCAUUAAAACAACUUUGCUAUCUUUCGUAACAUAAAAUAUGAAAUGAAAAUGUUUGACACAUUGAAUAAUUUCAAAUGAUGUCUUAAAAUCAGUGCAUAAUGUGCUGAUCUCUUUAAUCAUGAGCAAAUAUCUCUAAAGUACAUGUAUUAUACAUUUUUUUUACCAUAUACCAUAAGUUGUCAAGUAGCUUAAAUAACUUGAAAUUUCACAUAAUCAGAGUAUUCUCACUUGUUAUAUUGAUAAUUAUUAUUUAUUUACUAUCUCACAAUAGUUGAAUUUAUGAAUGUGAUAAAUGAAAAAUAAUUUUAUCACAUGAUGGUUUUCAUUUCUAUUCUGAGAUAGUAGAUUGUUACAUAAAAAGUGAUUAUUAUGUACGUACUUGUUACUUAUGUUGACCAUAGUGUGUUUUAAAUGAAAUGAAUAUUUAAGAAUCAAAGUA